GGGGCUUAGCUCAGUUGGUAGAGCAUCUGGUUUGCAACCAGAAGGUCAGCGGUUCGAACCCGCUACGCUCCA
rnacentral:tRNA from 1 species